GUGCUAUGAGGACAUGAACUCACAGAAAGGAUCAUUUCUCAUUACUGAUAAGAUCCAACUCCGACACAAUUUGAUG